CCUACGGGCGGCUGCAGUGAGGAAUAUUGGUCAAUGGGCGCAAGCCUGAACCAGCCAUCCCGCGUGCAGGAAGACAGCCCUAUGGGUUGUAAACUGCUUUUCCAGUGGGCGAAACACUCGUACGUGUACGAGAUUGACGGUACACUGGGAAUAAGCAUCGGCUAACUCCGUGCCAGCAGCCGCGGUAAUACGGAGGAUGCAAGCGUUAUCCGGAUUUAUUGGGUUUAAAGGGUGCGUAGGCGGAUGAAUAAGUCAGUGGUGAAAGGCUGCAGCUUAACUGUAGACUUGCCGUUGAUACUGUUUAUCUUGAGUAUGGUCAAGGCAGGCGGAAUGUGUAAUGUAGCGGUGAAAUGCUUAGAUAUUACACAGAACACCGAUUGCGAAGGCAGCUUGCUGGGCCAUUACUGACGCUGAUGCACGAAAGCGUGGGGAGCGAACAGGCUUAGAUACCCCAGUAGUC
rnacentral:rRNA from 1 species